GUGCUCACUUCAACAGCAUGUAUACUGUAAUCGGAAUGAUUCAGAGAAGAUUAACAUGGCCUCUGUGCUAGAAUGGCACGCCAAUUCACAAAGCAUUUCAUAAUUUU
ensembl:snRNA U6 U6 spliceosomal RNA